rnacentral:pre_miRNA from 1 species
GGUCCAAAUUCGAAGUAAGGUAGAUUAGUAAGGUCAACUGAUCCUACUAUUCAACUGUACUUCGAAAUUGGCCCC